rnacentral:rRNA from 1 species
AUACGUAGGUGGCAAGCGUUGUCCGGAAUUAUUGGGCGUAAAGCGCGCGCAGGCGGUCCUUUAAGUCUGAUGUGAAAGCCCACGGCUCAACCGUGGAGGGUCAUUGGAAACUGGGGGACUUGAGUGCAGAAGAGGAAAGUGGAAUUCCAAGGGUAGCGGUGAAAUGCGUAGAGAUUUGGAGGAACACCAGUGGCGAAGGCGACUUUCUGGUCUGUAACUGACGCUGAGGCGCGAAAGCGUGGGGAGCAAACAGGAUUAGAUACCCUGGUAGUCCACGCCGUAAACGAUGAGUGCUAAGUGUUAGGGGGUUUCCGCCCCUUAGUGCUGCAGCUAACGCAUUAAGCACUCCGCCUGGGGAGUACGGUCGCAAGACUGAAACUCAAAGGAAUUGACGGGG